rnacentral:rRNA from 1 species
UGCGCAGCCUACCAUGCAAGUCGAGCGGUAACAGAAAGUAGCUUGCUACUUUGCUGACGAGCGGCGGACGGGUGAGUAAUGCUUGGGAACAUGCCUUGAGGUGGGGGACAACAGUUGGAAACGACUGCUAAUACCGCAUAAUGUCUACGGACCAAAGGGGGCUUCNGCUCUCGCCUUUAGAUUGGCCCAAGUGGGAUUANCUANUUGGUGAGGUAAUGGCUCACCAAGGCGACGAUCCCUAGCUGGUUUGAGAGGAUGAUCAGCCACACUGGGACUGAGACACGGCCCAGACUCCUACNGGAGGCAGCNUUGGGGAAUAUUGCACAAUGGGCGCAAGCCUGAUGCAGCCAUGCCGCGUGUGUGAAGAAUGCCUUCCGGUUGUAAAGCACU